UAGGUUCACGUUGAUAUGGACGAAAGGUUUGGGUCGACAUGCUUUCGUGAGAUUUUAGCCAAUAUUGAUGGUGAAUAAAACAGGAAUUCGUCAAGUCGCAACGUACGAAGUGUACAUGUGUCAUGGCGUGACGAGUGGGGACCUUCGUGGCCAUGUUUUGGCAUGAUUUCGGAGAUUCAGACGGAAAUCUCAAAGACCUAUUGGUUGUCUCUCGGACGCUGUGGAGGAGGUUGGCCUACAUUUCUUCUUAUGCGGAGUGUACGGCAUUCCACCAUGACACGCAGAAGACGUACCCUGCCCUGACGAAGGAUACCUUCAGAAAAUUUGACAAUUUUCAUCGGUUUUGAAGAGUUUCUUCCUAUUUGUGGAUUGAAGAUGGCAACGACAUGCAUGGCCGGGUAUAAUGGACGAGCUUUGGAUUCCUCCGCAUCUGAUCUGUACUACCCACCCAUUGCAAUUGAACUCCGUAUCAGUUCCUGACCAUGCCAUGACAUGGCCAUGUUCAUUCAAACAGCCCAACCCCCACUCUGAACCUUUCUAAAUAGUCCAUGGUGUGGAGUACAUGUACAAAUACUUUUAGUGUGAUCUGAAUUGGGAGUGGUAGGUGUAGUGUGUUCGCUGCCUCCCUGUCCCAGAUGCUUGAAUAACAUAGUUGACUUAAACAUUUCAUAAUGAAUAUCUUACUGCCGGGGGGUUGAGAGAAUUGAGAUAGUUUGGGAAUUUCGGAGAUAACUGGAGGUAAUCUUUGAUCAGGACAGUUUCUGUUUUGUCCUUAUUGCCAUUUCAGAUGGUAUAUAUCUUGUCAAUGUCACC